rnacentral:rRNA from 1 species
CCUAUGAGCUUAGCCUAAAGUAAUUCAUGUUUAAUAUACUAUGAUAACAGUGAAAACUUAGUGAUACUUACUGAAGUGUCUUUGGUUGGGGCGACCGCGGGGUAAAACACAACCCCCAUGUGGACUGGGGAUAUUAUCCCUAAUACUCAGAGCCUCUACUCCAAGUAACAGAAAUUCUGACUUUUCUGAUCGGUAUAACCGAUCAACGAACCGAGUUACCCUAGGGAUAACAGCGCAAUCCCCUCUCAGAGCCCAUAUCGACGAGGGGGUUUACGACCUCGAUGUUGGAUCAGGACAUCCUAAUGGUGCAGCCGCUAUUAAGGGUUCGUUUGUUAAACGAUUAAAGUCCUA